rnacentral:rRNA from 1 species
GACGAACGCUGGCGGCGUGCUUAACACAUGCAAGUCGAACGGAAAGGCCCUGCUUUUGUGGGGUGCUCGAGUGGCGAACGGGUGAGUAACACGUGAGUAACCUGCCCUUGACUUUGGGAUAACUUCAGGAAACUGGGGCUAAUACCGGAUAGGAUCUCCUGCUGCAUGGUGGGGGGUGGAAAGUUUCGGCGGUUGGGGCUGGACUCGCGGCUUAUCCGCCUGUUGGUGGGGUAGUGGCUUACCAAGGCUUUGACGGGUAGCCGGCCUGAGCGGGUGACCGGCCUCAUUGUGACCGAGAUACCGCCCAGAGUACUACAGGCGGCAGCCGUGGCGACUAUUGCGCAACGAGCGGAAGCCAGAUGCAGUCACGGCGCGUGCGGGAAGACGGCCUUCGAGUAGUGAACCUCUUGAGGCUGUAAUGAAGUGUCAGUGAGGGUAUUGGGUACAGAAGCACCCGCUAACUACGUC